rnacentral:lncRNA from 1 species
CACCGACUUCUGUCAGUUUAAAGAAACCUUUAGCACCCUUUAUUCUAGCUCCUUUGGGAUUCAGAACGGGUAUGUGGGAUACGCCUGGAUCAGUAACAUCAAUAACGUCACAGAUGGGACAGCCUGGAUCAACGUGGACCUGAGGAACCGGUCUGACACUGGGCGCGCCAACACCCCACCUCAGACCAACAUCCUUCCAGAAGUGAGAGUGCCUUCAAACUGUCAGAGGGAUUUCAGGUUGUUGGCGUUUGACCCUGACGGAGACGACGUUAAAUGCAGAUAUGGACUCUCAUCACAGUCGGAGUGUUACCAAUGCACACCGGUAUCUGUCCUCAGCCUCUCAUCAUCCUCUUGCACUCUGUCAUUCAGUCCCACCAGCAGCAGCAAUGAAGGCUCAUACGUGGUGCAGCUGGUGAUGGAGGACUUUCCCAGACAGACCAUCACACUGACUGAUACCAACGGGACGCAGACGACCAGAACUGUCAAUGAUGCUCUCAGCAAAAUUCCAGUCCAGUUUGUUGUGACAGUGGAUGCUGCAGCGCCAUCCUGCACAGAAGGACUUUACCUGCCCAGGUUCCUGCCUCCAACUCCAGCCAAUGGAGCUCAGCUGUUCACUGCUGUCAACCAGACCCUGGAAAUCAGCAUCUCUGCCGAGGCCAACAACUCCCAGUAAGUGAAUUGUUGGU